ACUCCUAGCGGGAGGCAGCAGGUAGGGAAUUAUUGCAACGGAAAUCGGGGAAGCCCAUGUGAGCCAUGCCGCGUGUGUGAAGAAGGCCUUCGGGUUGUAAAGCACUUUCAGUAGGGAGGAAGGUAGUGUAGUUAACACCUGCAUUAUUUGACGUUACCUACAGAAGAAGCACCGGCUAACUCCGUGCCAGCAGCCGCGGUAAUACGGAGGGUGCGAGCGUUAAUCGGAAUUACUGGGCGUAAAGCGCAUGCAGGCGGCCUGUUAAGUCAGAUGUGAAAGCCCGGGGCUUAACCUCGGAAUUGCAUUUGAAACUGGCAGGCUAGAGUCUUGUAGAGGGGGGUAGAAUUUCAGGUGUAGCGGUGAAAUGCGUAGAGAUCUGAAGGAAUACCAGUGGCGAAGGCGGCCCCCUGGACAAAGACUGACGCUCAGAUGCGAAAGCGUGGGGAGCAAACAGGAUU
rnacentral:rRNA from 1 species